UACGUAGGGUGCAAGCGUUGUCCGGAAUUAUUGGGCGUAAAGAGCUCGUAGGCGGUUUGUCGCGUCGAAUGUGAAAACCCGGGGCUCAACCCCGGGCCUGCAUUCGAUACGGGCAGACUAGAGUUCGGUAGGGGAGUCUGGAAUUCCUGGUGUAGCGGUGAAAUGCGCAGAUAUCAGGAGGAACACCAAUAGCGAAGGCAGCUCGCUGGGACGAAACUGACGCUAAGGCGCGAAAGCGUGGGGAGCGAACAGG
rnacentral:rRNA from 1 species